AGCAAUCACUGAACAUGCCUGAUCUUGUCUGAUAUUGGAAGCUAAGCAGGUUUGGCCCUGGUUAGUACUUGACUAGAUGAGAGAAAAGACAAGGA
rnacentral:rRNA from 1 species